CUCGAAAGAGCCUAGGGUAGAUUGCGAUUAACGGUCGCGUUCGAACGAAGCACGACAGUUUUCGUUAAUUGUGUAAUCGAUCUUUUAUCGAUCGUAUAUAUUUUAGAAAUUGUGUGUAUUGUGUAGUUUUAUCGAGUCGUAUAUCGAACAAAUGAACAGUGACUCUCGAAUAAGAAUAUCGCGUUCCAGUUUUUCGCCAUGAAGGUUAUAAAUCAAUUAGGUUAUAAUUCGAUGGGAAGAAACGACGGAUCGACAUGUAUUCGACCGAUGCAGAGAGAAAUCGUAAAAUCGAAAGAAGUGGAAGGAAACGAUUCGAUUUCAAAUUUCGAGGCGGAGAAGGCAAAACAGAGGUGGCGUAAGUGGUUCAUUUGGCGGAGACCGUUAAUCCCCGAUGUCUAAGGGACUAGAAAAUGUUCGAUUAAACGUCGCGUAUGUGCACGAUUUCUCUCUCGAUAAGUUGGAACAGUGGAGGAGGACGAUGCGUGAUGGCGGUGGCAGGAUUGGAAGAUCGUUUGGUUUUCCGGCGCCGUUAAUGAGGGAGAAUAAUAGUUCGAUACCAAUUAGCUGAGAAACUGGGCUGUAGCUGUGGUGGUCCGGGCCAUAAAAAGAAACUGCCGUAGGU